GAACACACAAGUUACAGGAACUUGUAUGCCAAAUUUCUGCAAUCUGUCAACUGUAGGAAGUCUUUGCUGUGCAGCUAACCAUUCAGUGAAUUUAUGCCGAGGUUGAACAUUUGCAGUCAUCAUCAGAUUCUUCCAUUCAACCUUGUUGAAGUUGGGAAUCAUUGUGAGGUAAAGUUUCUGAAUUUGGAAUUUAUCCAGUUUGCAUACUCCAUUCAAUCUGCUAAAAAGAUCCCCCUGUAGCUUCUGAUUCUCCAUUAUAGCAGUUCUGC
rnacentral:lncRNA from 1 species